rnacentral:rRNA from 1 species
CCAAUAGCGUAUAUUAAAGUUGUUGCAGUUAAAAAGCUCGUAGUUGAAUUUCGGGGUUAGUAGGUUGGUCAUGCCUCUGGUAUGUACUGGUCUCACUGAUUCCUCCUUCCUGAUGAGCCGUAAUGCCAUUAAUUUGGUGUUGCGGGGAAUUUGGACUGUUACUUUGAAAAAAUUAGAGUGUUUAAAGCAAGCUAACGCUUGAAUACAUUAGCAUGGAAUAAUGAAAUAGGACGUUCGAUCCUAUUUUGUUGGUUUCUAGGAUUGACGUAAUGAUUAAUAGGGAUAGUUGGGGGCAUUAGUAUUCAAUUGUCAGAGGUGGAAUUCUUGGAUUUAUUGAAGACUAACUACUGCGAAAGCAUUUGCCAAGGAUGUUGUCAUUAAUCAAGAACGAAAGUUAGGGGAUCGAAGACGAUCAGAUACCGUCGUAGUCUUAACCAUAAACUAUGCCGACUAGGGAUCGGAUGAUGUUAAUUUUUUAAUGACUCAUUCGGCGCCUUACG